GAUGAACGCUGGCGGCGUGCCUAAUACAUGCAAGUCGAGCGAAUGGAUUAAGAGCUUGCUCUUAUGAAGUUAGCGGCGGACGGGUGAGUAACACGUGGGUAACCUGCCCAUAAGACUGGGAUAACUCCGGGAAACCGGGGCUAAUACCGGAUAACAUUUUGAACCGCAUGGUUCGAAAUUGAAAGGCGGCUUCGGCUGUCACUUAUGGAUGGACCCGCGUCGCAUUAGCUAGUUGGUGAGGUAACGGCUCACCAAGGCAACGAUGCGUAGCCGACCUGAGAGGGUGAUCGGCCACACUGGGACUGAGACACGGCCCAGACUCCUACGGGAGGCAGCAGUAGGGAAUCUUCCGCAAUGGACGAAAGUCUGACGGAGCAACGCCGCGCGAGUGAUGAAGGCUUUCGGGUCGUAAAACUCUGUUGUUAGGGAAGAACAAGUGCUAGUUGAAUAAGCUGGCACCUUGACGGUACCUAACCAGAAAGCCACGGCUAACUACGUGCCAGCCACCGCUGUAA
rnacentral:rRNA from 1 species